rnacentral:rRNA from 1 species
AUUGAACGCUGGCGGCAGGCCUAACACAUGCAAGUCGAGCGGAUGAAGGGAGCUUGCUCCUGGAUUCAGCGGCGGACGGGUGAGUAAUGCCUAGGAAUCUGCCUGGUAGUGGGGGAUAACGUCCGGAAACGGGCGCUAAUACCGCAUACGUCCUGAGGGAGAAAGUGGGGGAUCUUCGGACCUCACGCUAUCAGAUGAGCCUAGGUCGGACUAGCUAGUUGGUGGGGUAAAGGCCUACCAAGGCGACGAUCCGUAACUGGUCUGAGAGGAUGAUCAGUCACACUGGAACUGGGACACGGUCCAGACUCCUACGGGAGGCAGCAGUGGGGAAUAUUGGACAAUGGGCGAAAGCCUGAUCCAGCCAUGCCGCGUGUGUGAAGAAGGUCUUCGGAUUGUAAAGCACUUUAAGUUGGGAGGAAGGGCAGUAAGUUAAUACCUUGCUGUUUUGACGUUACCAACAGAAUAAGCACCGGCUAACUUCGUG